rnacentral:rRNA from 1 species
UGGGGAAUUUUGGACAAUGGGGGAAACCCUGAUCCAGCCAUCCCGCGUGUGCGAUGAAGGCCUUCGGGUUGUAAAGCACUUUUGGCAGGAAAGAAACGUCGUGGGUUAAUACCCCGCGAAACUGACGGUACCUGCAGAAUAAGCACCGGCUAACUACGUGCCAGCAGCCGCGGUAAUACGUAGGGUGCAAGCGUUAAUCGGAAUUACUGGGCGUAAAGCGUGCGCAGGCGGUUCGGAAAGAAAGAUGUGAAAUCCCAGAGCUUAACUUUGGAACUGCAUUUUUAACUACCGGGCUAGAGUGUGUCAGAGGGAGGUGGAAUUCCGCGUGUAGCAGUGAAAUGCGUAGAUAUGCGGAGGAACACCGAUGGCGAAGGCAGCCUCCUGGGAUAACACUGACGCUCAUGCACGAAAGCGUGGGGAGCAAACAGGAUUAGAUACCCUGGUAGUCCACGCCCUAAACGAUGUCAACUAGCUGUUGGGGUCUUCGGACCUUGGUAGCGCAGCUAACGCGUUAAGUUCGCCGCCUGGGGAGUACGGUCGCAAGACUGAAACUUAAAUGAAUUGACGGGGUCAUAGCUGUUUCCU